CAGCAACGUCGUUGAGCUGGUCGCUGAAUUCUUCUGUGCGCCAUUGGGAAAAAAACAUGACGUCUCCCGAGUGGCGCGCUCCGCGAAAGACGAUUUGUGACACCGUUCUUCAAGGUAUACUCUUGCCGUGGAGCCGUUAACAAUCCACCUUGAAUUGGACCGGAUAUCAAGCAGAAAGAAAUGUGGAGGUCAAGGAUACAAGGAUGCAAGGAGUAUUGUAUGAAGCGAUAAGUCCUGAUGCACAGGAGGGUAGAUCAAAAAGCGACAUGUUAUGAUCAUUCUCGAUCAAAUCCAGUAAGCAGUGAAUACAAACCUAGGAGGAAAGGACUAUCAAGAAUUCCCCAAUCUUAUUGGAAGACGCAGCUUACUAUUUAAGUACCGAGGGUAAUAUGUUACAAUCGAGCCGACUGCGAAUAUUUGAAGCUCUCCGUCAGUACUGUGCAAUUUCGUACCAUCAUGCAAUUUAUUUGUGCGUAUAUAUGUGUCUAUCAACCCGAAAACUGCUCUACGUUUGCAAUUCUUUGCGUGUAAAUUUGGCUUGAAGAGGA